rnacentral:rRNA from 1 species
AACGAUCGCUGGCGGCAUGCCUAACACAUGCAAGUCGGACGAGACCUUCGGGUCUAGUGGCGCACGGGUGCGUAACGCGUGGGAAUCUACCCUUGGGUUCGGAAUAACAGUUAGAAAUGACUGCUAAUACCGGAUGAUGACGUAAGUCCAAAGAUUUAUCGCCCAAGGAUGAGCCCGCGUAAGAUUAGCUUGUUGGUGGGGUAAUGGCCUACCAAGGCGACGAUCUUUAGCUGGUCUGAGAGGAUGAUCAGCCACACUGGGACUGAGACACGGCCCAGACUCCUACGGGAGGCAGCAGUGGGGAAUAUUGGACAAUGGGCGAAAGCCUGAUCCAGCAAUGCCGCGUGAGUGAUGAAGGCCUUAGGGUUGUAAAGCUCUUUUACCAGGGAUGAUAAUGACAGUACCUGGAGAAUAAGCUCCGGCUAACUCCGUGCCAGCAGCCGCGGUAA